GACGAGCCUGACAAACGUUGUUCGGAAUUACUGGGCGUAAAGAGUGUGUAGGCGGUGCUCUAAGUUUGUCGUGAAAUCUCCCGGCUUAACUGGGAGGGUGCGGCGAAAACUGGAGUGCUUGAGGGUGGGAGAGGUAAGCGGAAUUCCUGGUGUAGCGGUGAAAUGCGUAGAUAUCAGGAGGAACACCUGUGGUGUAGACAGCUUACUGGACCACUUCUGACGCUGAGACACGAAAGCGUGGGUAGCAAACAGG
rnacentral:rRNA from 1 species